GGACAUAGCUGUUGGCAUCCAGCACAGCCACACCUUCACGAACCUCACCCAUGAUGACCAGUGGCCCAUCACCAGCUGUCACAUUGGGGCACGGGCAGGCCCAGUCCAUGCCACUCAGUGUCACCUCCAGGAGGUGCUUAAGAGCCACACCCUUGCCUGUGCUCAGCAUACUAACUUGGUCAGAUAUGGAAGCUGGAGCCAAGAUUGCUGCCAGAAGCAUCUAGAGCUUGUCCUGACCCCAUCGGUUUCCAACUGGCCUGUAAGCAUCAAUACCCUAGAUAGGGUGUUUGCAAAUCCAAAGAUCAUCUGGCUUCAACGUUGAACCCCUCCAUCACUGCCUCAUUCCUCCUUCCCUGACAUCCUGAGCUUCCCUGAUGGCCUUUGUGGCCAUGAGGGGGCAUCCAGGCUUCCCUGACAGCCCUUUAAAAAUGUACAAAAUGGGUAAAAUGUUCUCCAUAUAAAUAAAGGGGAUCCAGGCCUACUUCUGGCCUGGAGAUCACAAUUGGUUCA